GGACCCUUAGCUCAGCGGUAGAGCAUCUGAUUCCAGUGCUAUUCAUGUAACUGAAAUGUUACUGGAGCAUCCAGAAGGUCGUCCGUUCAAUCCGGGCAGGGUUCA
rfam:Daedalea quercina L-15889 unplaced genomic scaffold DAEQTscaffold_6, whole genome shotgun sequence.